rnacentral:rRNA from 1 species
AAUGAACGCUGGCGGCGUGCCUAACACAUGCAAGUCGGAUGUGCCGCAAGGUGCAUGGCAGACGGGUGAGUAACGCGUGGGGAACCUACCUCUUCGUGGGGAAUAACGAUCCGAAAGGAUUGGUAAUACCGCAUGAGACCGACGGCUGGGAUGCUGUCGGUGAAAGCUUGGGGGACCGGAAACGGCCUGGCGCGAGGAGAGGGUCCUGCGUCUGAUUAGCUAGUUGGUGGGGUAACGGCCUACCAAGGCAUCGAUCAGUAGCCGGCCUGAGAGGGUGAUCGGCCACACUGGAACUGAGACACGGUCCAGACUCCUACGGGAGGCAGCAGUGGGGAAUUUUGCGCAAUGGACGAAAGUCUGACGCAGCAACGCCGCGUGGGUGAUGAAGGUCUUCGGAUUGUAAAACCCUGUCGUCGGGACGAAGGUAGGAGGGUUAAUAGGCCCUUUUGCUUGACAGUACCCGGAGAGGAAGCCCCGGGCUAAACUCCUAGUGCCAGCAGCCGCGGUAA